CCUACGGGCGGCAGCAGUGAGGAAUAUUGGUCAAUGGACGAGAGUCUGAACCAGCCAAGUAGCGUGAAGGAUGACUGCCCUAUGGGUUGUAAACUUCUUUUAUAAAGGAAUAAAACGAGGCACGUGUGCCUUUUUGCAUGUACUUUAUGAAUAAGGAUCGGCUAACUCCGUGCCAGCAGCCGCGGUAAUACGGAGGCUCCGAGCGUUAUCCGGAUUUAUUGGGGUUAAAGGGAGCGUAGAUGGGUUGUUAAGUCAGUUGUGAAAGUUUGCGGCUCAACCGUAAAAUUGCAAUUGAUACUGGCAGUCGUGAGUACAGUUGAGGUAAGCGGAAUUCGUGGUGUAGCGGUGAAAUGCUUAGAUAUCACGAAGAACCCCGAUUGCGAAGGCAGCUUACUAAACUGUGACUGACAUUGAUGCUCGAAAGUGUGGGUAUCAAACAGGAUUAGAUACCCCAGUAGUC
rnacentral:rRNA from 1 species